rnacentral:snRNA from 1 species
GCGUGCUCCGGGCGUCGGCCUG